rnacentral:rRNA from 1 species
AGUGAACGCUGGCGGUAGGCCUAACACAUGCAAGUCGAACGGCAGCACAGUAAGAGCUUGCUCUUACGGGUGGCGAGUGGCGGACGGGUGAGGAAUACAUCGGAAUCUACUUUUUCGUGGGGGAUAACGUAGGGAAACUUACGCUAAUACCGCAUACGACCUACGGGUGAAAGGAGGGGAUCUUCGGACCUUGCGCGAUUGAAUGAGCCGAUGUCGGAGUAGCUAGUUGGCGGGGUAAAGGCCCACCAAGGCGACGAUCCGUAGCUGGUCUGAGAGGAUGAUCAGCCCCACUGGACCUGAGACACGGUCCAGACCCCUACGGGAGGCAGCAGUGGGGAAUAUUGGACAAUGGGCGCAAGCCUGAUCCAGCCAUACCGCGUGGGUGAAGAAGGCCUUCGGGUUGUAAAGCCCUUUGUUGGGAAAGAAAAGCAGCAGGUUAAUACCCCGCUGUUCUGACGGUACCCAAAGAAUAAGCACCGGCUAACUUCGUG